GAUCAUGGCGUCAGGAUGAACGCUAGCUACAGGCUUAACACAUGCAAGUCGAGGGGCAUCAGGACGAUAGCUUGCUAUUGUCGCUGGCGACCGGCGCACGGGUGAGUAACGCGUAUCCAACCUGGCCCUUAGUAGGAACAGCCCGGCGAAAGUCGGAUUAAUGCCCUAUGUUUUCCCAUGAGAGCAUUUGAAAGGGAAUAAAGAUUUAUCGCUAAGGGAUGGGGGAUGCGUCUGAUUAGGUAGUAGGCGGGGUAACGGCCCACCUAGCCGACGAUCAGUAGGGGUUCUGAGAGGAAGGUCCCCCACAUUGGUACUGAGACACGGACCAAACUCCUACGGGAGGCAGCAGUGAGGAAUAUUGGUCAAUGGGCGAGAGCCUGAACCAGCCAAGUAGCGUGCAGGAUGACGGCCCUAUGGGUUGUAAACUGCUUUUGUGCGGGAAUAAAGUCAGGGACGCGUCCCUGUUUGCAUGUACCGUACGAAUAAGGACCGGCUAAUUCCGUGCCAGCAGCUGC
rnacentral:rRNA from 1 species